rnacentral:rRNA from 1 species
UGAACGCUGGCGGCAUGCCUUACACAUGCAAGUCGAACGGCAGCACGGGUGCUUGCACCUGGUGGCGAGUGGCGAACGGGUGAGUAAUACAUCGGAACAUGUCCUGUAGUGGGGGAUAGCCCGGCGAAAGCCGGAUUAAUACCGCAUACGAUCUACGGAUGAAAGCGGGGGACCUUCGGGCCUCGCGCUAUAGGGUUGGCCGAUGGCUGAUUAGCUAGUUGGUGGGGUAAAGGCCUACCAAGGCGACGAUCAGUAGCUGGUCUGAGAGGACGACCAGCCACACUGGGACUGAGACACGGCCCAGACUCCUACGGGAGGCAGCAGUGGGGAAUUUUGGACAAUGGGCGAAAGCCUGAUCCAGCAAUGCCGCGUGUGUGAAGAAGGCCUUCGGGUUGUAAAGCACUUUUGUCCGGAAAGAAAUCCUUGGCUCUAAUACAGUCGGGGGAUGACGGUACCGGAAGAAUAAGCACCGGCUAACUACGUGCCAGCAGCCGCGGUAAUACGUAGGGUGCGAGCGUUAAUCGGAAUUACUGGGCGUAAAGCGUGCGCAGGCGGUUUGCUAAGACCGAUGUGAAAUCCCCGGGCUCAACCUGGGAACUGCAUUGGUGACUGGCAGGCUAGAGUAUGGCAGAGGGGGGUAGAAUUCCACGUGUAGCAGUGAAAUGCGUAGAGAUGUGGAGGAAUACCGAUGGCGAAGGCAGCCCCCUGGGCCAAUACUGACGCUCAUGCACGAAAGCGUGGGGGAGCAAACAGGAUUAGAUACCCUGGUAGUCCACGCCCUAAACGAUGUCAACUAGUUGUUGGGGAUUCAUUUCCUUAGUAACGUAGCUAACGCGUGAAGUUGACCGCCUGGGGAGUACGGUCGCAAGAUUAAAACUCAAAGGAAUUGACGGGGACCCGCACAAGCGGUGGAUGAUGUGGAUUAAUUCGAUGCAACGCGAAAAACCUUACCUACCCUUGACAUGGUCGGAAUCCCGCUGAGAGGUGGGAGUGCUCGAAAGAGAACCGGCGCACAGGUGCUGCAUGGCUGUCGUCAGCUCGUGUCGUGAGAUGUUGGGUUAAGUCCCGCAACGAGCGCAACCCUUGUCCUUAGUUGCUACGCAAGAGCACUCUAAGGAGACUGCCGGUGACAAACCGGAGGAAGGUGGGGAUGACGUCAAGUCCUCAUGGCCCUUAUGGGUAGGGCUUCACGCGUCAUACAAUGGUCGGAACAGAGGGUUGCCAACCCGCGAGGGGGAGCUAAUCCCAGAAAACCGAUCGUAGUCCGGAUUGCACUCUGCAACUCGAGUGCAUGAAGCUGGAAUCGCUAGUAAUCGCGGAUCAGCAUGCCGCGGUGAAUACGUUCCCGGGUCUUGUACUCACCGCCC